UUCAGGUGGGUGGCAGGUAAUGGCGGAAGGGGUUUCAGAUAGGAUAUUCCCGAUAUGUAGGCUUCAUAGGUUAAAGUUCAGGUUAAGUUGUACUUUAUUAUAAACAAAAUCGUUUGAAUAUUUAUCGCAGACAACCCCAUAAACAACAUAAACAUAGGCACCGCCAUCCGACCAAUCAAUCAACCCUUGCGGCCGAAGAAAAGCCCGUAAAGAACCCAGGAAUACCAUGCCAUGCGUGUCUGGUGCGUGUGGAACCCCGUAGGAAUGGAGUGAGUGAACGGAACGAAACGAAACGGAACCCCAAGGAACGGAGCAAGUGGGCGAUGUCUGGUGUCUCUUCUAUGGUUUCACCUGCCUCGAAAAACGGGGUCAAAUAUUCACUGGGUGCUGGCUAUUGCCAAUUGCUUUCCAGAGAGAUCUCCUCCGCUCUGGCAUAUCCGCAUCCACAUCCGCACUUCACAGAGAUACAGACAGAGAGACCGAGAGAGAGAAAGAGAGAGAUACAGACCAUGGCAGGUUUGCGUGUGCUCCGUCGACUCCGGGGUCCAAAGUCCAUGUUUUGGCUCAAAGCAUUCGCUUAUAACGGCUCUAGAGACUCCAGUUGUUUCUUUUCCAAAUACCCUACGCCACACAGAGACCAUCACGUCUGUGGAGCCCAGAAAUCGAAUCUCAGUGUGAAAAUAUAUCUUAUUUGUAGAAGUAAAGCCUUGAAAUGUAUCCACUUUCCCAAGACUCAUUUUGGUCGUACCUUUGUGUAUAUUUUUCCUAUACAACGGAACCGUCUCCAAGGUACGAUCUCUAAGGGUAUCUAUAGCUUCGUUCUCUCAUUCUUUGUCAUCCUUUCCUCUUUUAGUCGCUAUUUUUUUUUGUGUUUCUUUCUGUUGUUGCUUAUUUUUUCAGCUUCAGUUUCAGAAAAGUUGGCUUGCAGUCCGUUUCUCUGCCUCCUCUGCUUCUCCUCUGCCGUUGCUGCCGCUGCUGCUGCUCCGCUUUGGCGUCGGCGGCGCUCUGUAUCUGUAUCUUUGUGUCUGUUUUCCUCAGUCCGUUUUACUUUUUGCACAUUGCAUAACUGUUCAUUAGCGAAGGCCGUUAACAACAAUAGCUACAGCGCUACAGAGAUACAAAACAGCAACAAAAUGUUGCCAAAGCACGUCUCUCGUACGACAAAAAACAAAAC